GGGGAAUAUUGGACAAUGGGCGCAAGCCUGAUCCAGCCAUACCGCGUGGGUGAAGAAGGCCUUCGGGUUGUAAAGCCCUUUUGUUGGGAAAGAAAUCCAGCUGGCUAAUACCCGGUUGGGAUGACGGUACCCAAAGAAUAAGCACCGGCUAACUUCGUGCCAGCAGCCGCGGUAAUACGAAGGGUGCAAGCGUUACUCGGAAUUACUGGGCGUAAAGCGUGCGUAGGUGGUCGUUUAAGUCCGUUGUGAAAGCCCUGGGCUCAACCUGGGAACUGCAGGGGAUACUGGACGACUAGAGUGUGGUAGAGGGUAGCGGAAUUCCUGGUGUAGCAGUGAAAUGCGUAGAGAUCAGGAGGAACAUCCAUGGCGAAGGCAGUCCCCUGGACCUGUACUGACGCUCAUGCACGAAAGCGUGGGGAGCAAACA
rnacentral:rRNA from 1 species